UGGGGAAUAUUGCACAAUGGGGGGGACCCUGAUGCAGCGACGCCGCGUGAAGGAAGAAGUAUCUCGGUAUGUAAACUUCUAUCAGCAGGGAAGAUAGUGACGGUACCUGACUAAGAAGCCCCGGCUAACUACGUGCCAGCAGCCGCGGUAAUACGUAGGGGGCAAGCGUUAUCCGGAUUUACUGGGUGUAAAGGGAGCGUAGACGGAUUAGCAAGUCUGAUGUGAAAGGCAGAGGCUCAACCCCUGGACUGCAUUGGAAACUGCCAGUCUUGAGUGCCGGAGAGGUAAGCGGAAUUCCUAGUGUAGCGGUGAAAUGCGUAGAUAUUAGGAGGAACACCAGUGGCGAAGGCGGCUUACUGGACGGCAACUGACGUUGAGGCUCGAAAGCGUGGGGAGCAAACAGG
rnacentral:rRNA from 1 species